AUCGAACGCUGGCGGCAGGCCUAACACAUGCAAGUCGAACGAGUGGCGGACGGGUCAGUAAUGUCUGGGACACUGCCCGAUGGAGGGGGAUAACUACUGGAAACGGUAGCUAAUACCGCAUCCCAUCGGAUGUGCCCAGAUGGGCUUAGCUAGUAGGUGGGGUAAUGGGUCACCUAGGCGACGAUCCCUGUCUGGUCUGAGAGGAUGACCGGCCAAACUGGAACUGAGACACGGUCCAGACUCCUGCGGGAGGCAGCAGUGGGGAAGAGUGUACAAUGGGCGCAAGCCUGAUGCAGCCAUGCCGCGUGUAUGAAGAAGGCCUUCGGGUUGUAAAGUACUUUCAGCGGGGAGGCGUUACCCGCAGAAGAAGCACCGGCUAACUCCGUGCCAGCAGCCGCGGUAAUUC
rnacentral:rRNA from 1 species